CAAUUAAAGAAACAAUCCAAGAUAAGAGAUUUCCAUAGAAAUCAAAACCGAACCAAUAUCUCCAAUGAUCCUUGAGAUAUUCUCACGAUUAAAUAAAAGUAUAUUACUUACUUAGUACAUACGAUAUGUAAACGUCGAUUCGAAGUGGCAUUUUUCAGACUCAUUUACUGCAACUAUAACACCUUGACGGAUUAUAAUGAACGAAAGUAAAAUCUUAUUUUGCUCGUUAUUCACGAUGAACGAAUAUUCCUACAUCAUUCUGAGUUGAGAGCUUGCAAUUAUGUAGAUACUGCGCAUGUACAUGCGUGCGUUAAUAUGCGCAAUCAUCUCUAGAUGGUAGGUAUCUCUAAAUUUCCCAGUAAAAUUGUCAUUUUCUCUUUCUCUCACAAUGGACUAAUGCUGUUUGAGCUUUUCUUACAGUAAAUAUGUAUCCGGACGUAAUAUUUCGUUAGAAAUAUUCAUAAAACUACAUUAAUGAAUUUGACAUGUACUACACAGAGACAGAGACAGAGACAGAGAGAGAGAGAGAGAGAGAGAGAGAGAGAGAGAGAGAGAGAGAUUCCAGUUUUUACAUAUACCACGUAAGCCACUGCACUGCAACGAAUGCACGUGCAUUGGAUUAAAGACUCGUCGUUGAUACUUCGCUAACCUGUCGCGGAGAAACCGGAAACGAGUUGAAUUCUUACGUGGAAACGCCUCGAUCCCGCAGGCCAAGCAGGUAGGACUGGUAAAACGGGUGGGGCUUCCGCUUUCAGAUCGUCGAUCAGGAUUGAUACAUCGAUCAUUCCUCGUACGUAUAAAAGAACCGUACAAGUGGUUGAGCAGUCCUUAUCAUGAGUAAUCUCAUUAAUCGCCGUAAAAAUCGCUUUUAUUUUUUUCAAACAUAACGCUCGUACGACUGAUGUAGAUGAUAUAGAUCGCAUGUAUGUAUAUAUAUAUAUAUAUAUAUAUAUAUAUAUAUAUAUAUACACAUAUACAUAUGUAUAUAUCGCUCUUUUCUUUUGUCACUGAGCAACUUUAAAACGUUCCUUCAACAAAGAUUUCGCUACUUUUGUAAUCUUUUGCGCAUAAUACAUAGAUACGACAUGAGAUCACCAAAGAACUUUAACAUAAACCGCAACACAGGAGGAUGAGGCAAUGUUACGAAGUAUCGACGUUUCGGUGUAACGAUAUCUUCUUUGAAGGUUUUACGUGUCUACGACCUUCUAAGGGUGCGGUUGGGAUCACGAUUGAUUCGAAAAUAAUAGUAUUCGAAUGAAGAAAGAUGAAUUUUUGUCUCUGCAAAAAAAAAUCGAUAUCAUCACCCACGCAACGUUAUCUAUGACUUAUACGGAAGUCAUUUAGUUGUAAAAGUUGGAAGAUAAUUUCACUAUAUGUAUAUUAUAUUUGGAUUGUAUGAGUCAUCAAAAGUUGAUAUUUAUAAGUCGACGCGAGUCCUAACAACUAUUUCCCACGAUCCAUGAUACACGUCAAAAUAUUCAUCAUCGAGUAGGGAUAACGGUGCCGGGAUACUUUUCGUUCGAACAGCGACUUUAAGUCCCGAAGCAAGGUAGUAUCGGUAUUUCUUGCGGUUCUUUGUCCCGCAGGCCGUAUACCAACCUCACCUCACCUGUGCCAGGCCAGUUCGUCCAAGUAACUCGAUCACGCGUGGCAUACUGUGGUGGGGUACUCCUCCCUCCUCCAACUAUGGUAACAUCCUUCGGAGCGUCUCCAUCUUCGCACUCGCUUCAUCUAUUCUCGCAGUGCAAAGCUAUCGUUUUGCUUCCAUUUCUGUUUUUAUUCCUUCUACGAAUCAGCAUCGACUACCUCUCUCUCUUUCUCUCUCUCUCUCUCUCUCUCUCUCUCUCUCUCUCUCUCUCUCUGUCUCUCUCCUUUCAACUACAUCUCUACUACUCUGCGUAGCUAUCUAUCGCUCUCACACUUCCAGUGCUCUCUUCGUCAUUGCAAAACGUUAUACGCUUCAUUGUAACAAUCUGAAAGAAUAUCGAGUUUCAAGGCGUUCCGCUGACUGUUCGACCACUCUUACAAAUAAAUAAUUACAUAUUGAUAUGGCUUUAUACGUAAGAAAUAAAUUUUCAAACUAAAAUAAAGUGCCGAUCGUUACAAUAAACAAACGAAUAUGAUUAGAUGAAGAAAAUAAGUUUGAGAAAAGCGCUCUAACGUAUCUUGCGUCGAUCGUCGAGAUCGCAGAGACUCGUAUCGCAGAGAAGAAGGGGGGCGAUAGGGGGCGAUAGAAGCCAAGAGAGAUGGCCGCACAGCCAGGUCGGUCAUAGACUGCUUUUUCUAAAGAGUAUGAGAAGCUGGAAUAACCGACCCGAUGAACCGAGGUUCCGGAGGACAGAACGGUACACGAUGCCUUCCUCCUCCUUCUCUUCCAACCUUCACCGUGAGGCCACCGAAGAUGAGGGCCAGCAGGACCUCGGAGUUCCCACUCUUGAAAUUCCUACGUACGCUUCUGAUGGACACAGGCAUACGUAUAGAGUCUGUCUUAAGCGUUGAUGUCGUCACCUGCAACACAGCAACCUUAUGCAAUAAAUCAGAUAAUCGAUUACAUAAAAAGCAAGUUUAUGUACGUAGUACGAUUAAACGAUGUUAUGGUAUAUUUUUAAUUAAAAAUAUAUAUCUAAAAAUUAAUGUUUAUAUAUGUAUAUAUAUAUAUAUAUGAUAUAUGAAUACGAUAUACCUCCUUCUUAUCGGUUACCAGUUCCCAUGUUCUUUCGCUUAAAGAACCAACUACAUUGACAAUGGCCCGCCCCGUAUCAGCGGUCAAUUCUACGAGUUCCGAAAAAGUACUAGGCAUUUUAAAUGUCGACAUAUCUGACAAUGUAAUAUCUGGCAGUACUCGCUCGUUAUCUCCUGGCUUCACUGAAAUAAGUAAUGUAAUCUUAAAAUCUAAGACUCAAUAAAUGAUUCAUAAAAUAUAAUAAAAUUAAAGAUAAACAUAAGAAAGGAAUAAACCUCUCUUAUGUAUGGAUAUUUUUUAUAAAUAAAUCUAAACUAAUAGAAAUAUGUAAAAUGCCAUUUCAAAAGAUACAUUAAACAUUAUCUUCUUGUAAAGUACAAUGAUAAGAAAAAUGUUUUAUCGAUAGGAGGGGUAGGUAUUAAUGUUAACUUUAACUUUAAUUCUACGAUUUGUUUUAUGAAAUGUACAUUAAAAAAUAUUGUUACUCACCGCCAUAAAUAAAGUUAUAACUAACAUUA